rnacentral:rRNA from 1 species
AACUAACGCUGGCGGCGUGCCUAACACAUGCAAGUCGUACGAGAAAGCCGGCUUCGGCUGGUGAGUAAAGUGGCGCACGGGUGAGUAACGCGUGGAUAAUCUGCCCUUAAGUGUGGAAUAACGUACCGAAAGGUGCGCUAAUACCGCAUAAUGCCUGGCAACACAAGUUGUCCGGCCAAAGAAGGCCUCUGUUUACAAGCUUUCGCUUCAGGAUGAGUCCGCGUACCAUUAGCUUGUUGGUGGGGUAAUGGCCUACCAAGGCUGCGAUGGUUAGCUGGUCUGAGAGGAUGAUCAGCCACACUGGAACUGAGACACGGUCCAGACUCCUACGGGAGGCAGCAGUGAGGAAUAUUGGUCAAUGGGCGCAAGCCUGAACCAGCCAUCCCGCGUACAGGAAGACGGCCCUAUGGGUUGUAAACUGCUUUUCCAGGGAGAGAAACUUACGCACGUGUUGCGUGACUGACGGUACCCUGGGAAUAAGCAUCGGCUAACUCCG